CAGAGCGUGUGUCUUAUUAUCCGUUAGAGGCUCGGAAAACAGAGCGGGACAGAGUGGCACCUGGGGAAAAACGCGGCAGCCACAGACACGCGGGAUCCGUCCCUGACUGCCGCUGGAAUCAAGGAAGAGAGAUACAGCUAAGCCAUGGGACCUGCCAAAACACACACCUGCGGGGUGGAGCUCAUCAAAGGCGCCCAUUCACCUGAUCCCGAGGAGACAGACUGGAGGCGGAGCAGACGGCAGCGGGGGCAGCAGGGCA